rnacentral:rRNA from 1 species
GACGAACGCUGGCGGCGUGCUUAACACAUGCAAGUCGAGCGGUAAGGCCCUUUCGGGGGUACGACGAGCGGCGAACGGGUGAGUAACACGUGGGUGACCUGCCCUCAGCUCUGGGAUAAGCCUGGGAAACCGGGUCUAAUACCGGAUAUGACUCCAUGACGCAUGUUGUGGGGUGGAAAGCCUUGUGCGGCUGAGGAUGGGCCCGCGGCCUAUCAGCUUGUUGGUGGGGUGAUGGCCUACCAAGGCGACGACGGGUAGCCGGCCUGAGAGGGCGACCGGCCACACUGGGACUGGGACACGGCCCAGACUCCUACGGGAGGCAGCAGUGGGGAAUCUUGCGCAAUGGGCGAACGCCUGACGCAGCGACGCCGCGUGAGGGAUGACGGCCUC